rnacentral:rRNA from 1 species
AAGGGAUUUUCCCCAAUGGGCGCAAGCCUGAGGGAGCAACGCCGCGUGGAGGAUGACGGCUUUCGGGUUGUAAACUCCUUUUGGCAGGGACGAUGAUGACGGUACCUGCCGAAUAAGCCCCGGCUAACUCUGUGCCAGCAGCCGCGGUAAUACCGAGGGGGCAAGCGUUGUCCGGACUUACUGGGCGUAAAGGGUGCGCAGGCGGCCUGAUGCGUCGUCGCUGAAAGCUCUCGGCUCAACUGAGAGAGGCGUGGCGAUACGAUCAGACUCGAGUCUCUGAGAGGGUGGCGGAACUCCUGGUGUAGUGGUGAAAUGCGUAGAGAUCAGGAAGAACACCCGUGGCGCAAGCGGCCACCUGGCAGAGCACUGACGCUGAGGCACGAAAGCGUGGGUAGCGAA